CCCAGGCGCAUGGACGUGCUCGUCUCCUUCCUCUGCACGUUCAAUCUGGAGCAGUGGAGCAGGAACAUAACAGAAACGGCCAUGGCUCCCCACCUCUUCCUCUCCUCCUCCCACUCAAUUCAUUCCCCAUUACGACUUGCCACCAAUACAAAAAUUAUUGAGGAAUGUCAAGAGAACUCAUUCAGGGAAUUAAAACUCAAUUUCGUUGCUUUAAUUGGACGCACGGAGCCGUGAAACGUACACGCACAAACUGCCAUUAUUGGCCACGAUGAGCUCUCUUGAUCUCCAUCUCCCGGCCUCCCCUUCCUCUAUAAAAGGAACCCUGAGUAGCGCCUCGAAGCCUCCCACCUCCUCUCCAGAAACCCCUCUCCAUCUCCCUCCCCAUGGUUGUCAAUUUGUAGCCGGAGUCCGAACUCUGCCGCAGCUUCCGACGAAGUUUCAGUCACGUGUGCCGGAGCUCACGAACGGCGACGAGUACAUCCAACCGGAAACUCCGGCGAACUCCAGCGGGUUCACACGGCUUCCCGAGGACGAAUUGGUCGUCAACGACGACAUCACCUUCAUCACCGCGUGGUGUACUUCACCGUCCGCCUCUCCUACUCGCCGGAGCACGCCCCGACCGGACCUCCUUCCCCCGAUAUAUUGUAACGAGAAGGAGAGACGACUCAAUAUAAUAUUUCAUCUUCAUCAACAGUACAAGG